rnacentral:pre_miRNA from 1 species
UAUUCAGAUUGGUGCCUGUCAUGUUUAUAAGAAUGAAAGACGCCAAACUGGGUAGA